GUGAUGAUGGCAAAGAGGUCACACCCGUUCCCAUACCGAACACGGAAGUUAAGCUCUUUAGCGCCGAUGGUAGUUGGGGGUUUCCCCCUGUGAGAGUAGGACAUCGC
rnacentral:rRNA from 1 species